rnacentral:rRNA from 1 species
GUGCCAGCCGCCGCGGUAAUACGUAGGUGGCAAGCGUUAUCCGGAAUUAUUGGGCGUAAAGCGCGCGUAGGCAGUUUUUUAAGUCUGAUGUGAAAGCCCACGGCUCAACCGUGGAGGGUCAUUGGAAACUGGAAAACUUGAGUGCAGAAGAGGAAAGUGGAAUUCCAUGUGUAGCGGUGAAAUGCGCAGAGAUAUGGAGGAACACCAGUGGCGAAGGCGACUUUCUGGUCUGUAACUGACGCUGAUGUGCGAAAGCGUGGGGAUCAAACAGGAUUAGAUAC